rnacentral:rRNA from 1 species
GACGUAGGGGGCCAGCGUUGCUCGGAAUUACUGGGCGUAAAGGGUUCGUAGGCGGUGUGGCAAGUCGGAAGUGAAAUCUCCAGGCUCAACUUGGAGGCUGCUCCCGAAACUGCCACGCUAGAGUGCGAGAGAGGCCAGUGGAAUUGCAGGUGUAGCGGUGAAAUGCGUAGAUAUCUGCAGGAACACCCGUGGCGAAGGCGGCAUCCUGGACCGACAUUGACGCUGAGGAGCGAAAGCUAGGGGAGCAAACGGG